UCUGGCAAUGUCAAGCAGACGACUCUCAAGCUCUACAGAGAAUUCAUUUGACGUUCAGGAAUAAUUCAAAGUCAAAACUGUAAACAAGAGAUUUUUUUAAAUAACAGUUUGUUUUUGUUAAAUAAUGGCAGACUUGCUUUCGUUUUCUGACGAGGUUUUAUGUCGCAUACUUGGGAGUAUUUCUAAGGUUAAAGACUUGCAUAACGUUAUGCUAGUAUGUCACCGAUUCCUACAUGUGAUUAAAAGCUACAAUAGAUUGUGGAAAUUUGAAAAGAAAGUGAAAAAUAUGCUUCAGGGAUUAUCCUCUAAAUAUUUUUUAAUUGGUGAACCCUCUCUUGUAGAAGUAGAAAAUAUGGUUAAUAGUGAAAGUCAUGCUCCAGAUGAGUGGAUGGAAAGUGUUCUUCAAAAUGAGAUAUUUAAUCAGAACCUGAAUGAAAAUUUAACUACAAGAUUUUAUGCCCGGAAAAUGCUGAGGUAUUUUAGAAGUUGUGUUAUUGAGAAGAAAUUAAAACACCUGAUGGAUUUACCAGAAUCCCAGAAAUCCAUAUUAGAAGGGGCUGUCUUGAUUUCACAGUGGGUCCAAACAGAACAAGAGCACUUAAUUAGUUUAAUUGAGGUUGAAUUAAAACUUGAAGACAUUACAAAAUGUGUAAAGCAACAUUUGGUUGAAAAGUCAGACACAUUUACAGCCAAAGAAAUACUGGAAUGUAUUAACAAAGUUUUGUAUCGUGAAAUGGAAUUCAAAGUCAUGCAGUCUGAUUACUCAUUUGAAUAUUUUUUUAUUGACAAGGUUCUUGAAUCGAGAAUUGGCUUCCCCGUGACUCUUUGUAUUAUCUAUCGAGAGGUAGCCAAACGAAUGGGAAUUUACUGCGAGCCUGUUUUACCCCCCAAAAUUCUCUUGCAUCGUUUUUAUCUUAAGUGGAACGCAAACCCAAAUCUUGCAGGGGACACUGACUGUAAUCAAUUGAUUGACCCAGCAAAUGGCGGUUCUUUGCAUUACUUCCAUCCGACUACGUGUCCAGUCGUUUCAACUAAAGAAUUUUUACAGAGAAUGGUGGAAUAUAUGCGUAGAAUCAGAUUACAAAGUAUUAGGUCUGGAAGAAGAGAAGGUCGAGACAGAACCCACUUCCAAAGGAGACGAAACGAACUGUGCUUUUCUCGAUUGGCCUGUGCCGUUUCUCCUGACCAAACUUCUUCGAUCCUUCUCUAUGCGCACCUCUGCUUGGAUCUUGACGUCCAGCUAGAAGAUGCAGUUCGGCUCCUUCAGCAAGUUGAAACGCUGCACGAUCAUCGACUAAUGGAAAAAUGCAUUCAGAAAUUAAACCAGAAAAAUUCGCUAGUCACAAAAAAAGUAAAAAGGUUAUCCACCUUCGAUCAUCAUCCGUUAAAUACGCAGUGGGACUUGUCAUGAUAUACAAAGAUAGCGCUUGUAAGCCACCGUUACUGUGUGUAAUCGACUCCUGGACACACCAUGAUCCAGACAGAAUAUUUUAUAACGUCCUUUUCGACGAUGGGGAUUCUUCCUUCGUUGCUGAAGAUAAUUUAAAACUAAACACUAAUGUGUCGUUCGUCAGCAGCCAUCCGAAUAUCGGGCUUUCUUUUGAACGUUUCAACGGCCGCCGAUACAUCUCCAAUGCUGAGAUGAUGACCCUCUUCCCAGACGAUGAAGCCUUUGCUCUUUCUCUGGUCGGAUAAAAUUAUAUGUAUUAUCGUAUCGCAUUAUGUAAUUGCCUGCCUUUUACUUACAUAAGCCGCUACACAGUGCCAAAUAGUUUCA
rnacentral:misc_RNA from 1 species